rnacentral:rRNA from 1 species
GACGAACGCUGGCGGCGUGCUUAACACAUGCAAGUCGAACGGAAAGGCCCUGCUUUUGUGGGGUGCUCGAGUGGCGAACGGGUGAGUAACACGUGAGUAACCUGCCCUUGACUUUGGGAUAACUUCAGGAAACUGGGGCUAAUACCGGAUAGGAGCUCCUGCUGCAUGGUGGGGGUUGGAAAGUUUCGGCGGUUGGGGAUGGACUCGCGGCUUAUCAGCUUGUUGGUGGGGUAGUGGCUUACCAAGGCUUUGACGGGUAGCCGGCCUGAGAGGGAGACCGGCCACAUUGGGACUGAGAUACGGCCCAGACUCCUACGGGAGGCAGCAGUGGGGAAUAUUGCACAAUGGGCGGAAGCCUGAUGCAGCAACGCCGCGUGCGGGAUGAAGGCCUUCGGGUUGUAAACCGCUUUCGCCUGUGACGAAGCGUGAGUGACGGUAAUGGGUAAAGAAGCACCGGCUAACUACGUG